AGGGCCACAGGGCAUUCGCCGUGAACCCGGUCAGACCCGGAAGGGAGCAGCCGCAGCGGUUAUAUCGUGUGCCGGGGUGUGGCUGGUAG
rnacentral:SRP_RNA from 1 species